UAUGCCUCUAUUAUAGAGGAAUGCUAUUUCUUCCUCUAAAUAUAGAGGUGAAAAUAGCAAUCUCUAUUUAAAAAAAUAAAAUAAAAUAGGAUCAAAUAUGAAAAAAUUACACUUAGACAUACUUUUAUCUUCUCCAUUUACAUUUACACAUACUUUGUGCUGGUGGAGUACUUUUCUCUUGCAAUUUAUCUAAAAUACCCUUGUGGCUAAGCAAACCUAAAAACUAACAUCUAAAAAAUUAUCGCUGCUAAACUCAUCUUCUUCUACCCCACUCUUCUUCUUCACUACUGCAAGAUUUUCAUCAUGUCGGCGACUUCAACGUUAACGUCCCACUCCAGAACACAAUUUUAGUUAAAUUCUUAUUUAUUUGGACUCAUCAAAAGUAGUAAAUGAUUUUAAUGGCCGGGAUUUCAAUGAAAUGGCCGUCUUUAUAACUCUGGACACUCUACAACUCUCAGAUCUCAAUUAUCUUUGUUUAGUGAUUCAUAAACGACAAGACGAAGAAAAACAAUUUUGCAUCUCUCUCUCCCGGCCGAUCGACAAUGAAAAGUUUCAACUUUCACAACUUAUUUUUUUUUCUUCAACUCCUUUGAUAUUUGUUUACAAACCCUAAAUCAACCUACCCUUAUUGGCCAAAUUUUCUGUUGUCUAGUUACCGGUGGAUCUUCACACAGCCGCAUCCAUCACUUCCUGCCUC
rnacentral:lncRNA from 1 species